AGCUCAUUCUGAUCCUGCUCCCUGUGCAGAAGCCAAUGGCCUAUGCUCAGCAAGCCCAGAUACAAUUUGCAGACACUCUGGGCAAAAAUAAACCCAGACUGACCAUCCCUCUAUUCUUCCUGUGCUCCUCCAACCGGCUCUGCUAAUCCCCUUCGGGAACCGAGUCUGAACCCAUCAGCCUCUCUCACUGUCUUCAGGAUCUGCCGGGAAUCUCUGUUUAAAGGAAAUGUGGACAAAGGGCAGAGUGGCAAAGGAAAAGAGCCCUGGGCAGGAAGACAGGAGAUCUGCGGUCUAGCCUGCCACCACCCAAAAUGGCUGUGUGACCUUGAAUAGGUCACUUCGCCUCUCGGGACUGCAGCACCCCAGGGCUAGCCCAGUUCUAAGGUUCUUGCCGGCCCGAGAGUCUGAAAUAAAGGUAAAGAAGAAGAGCAGAGCUGGCUCUGGAUGUUGGCAUUUUGCAGUAGCCCCGCACCUGUAAUCAGGACAAAAGAAGAAUGGAGCGUUUCUUGUCCUUUUUUCUUUUCCUUUCUUUCUUUUUUUUAAAAAACUCUUGCAAACUUAUAAUUUGGUUCGGAACAUACUGUUCUCUCAGCCUGCCAAAAUAGCUCAAGACCCAGGCCUCCAUCUGAGGCGGAACGAAUUCCUCAUAACUUUGUUCUAAUCGUUCUUGCCUUGGGAAAGUCAGUAAAUGCCUUCCCCUGUGAAGGCAACCUUUGCACAAGGAAGGAAAGAUUAAUGAAAGCUGCCGGGUGAACAGAGGAGCAUUUAGGGAACGGUUCAGGCCAGCAGUAUGCGUGGUUCUGUCACUGAGGCCCGGCAGCCCCUCCUGCAGGACCCGCCAGCCCUGCUCCUUACACCGCCCCGGGGCUUGACAAACAGCAUCAGUUCUUCAAAAGCCGGCGAGCAUUAAGAGGAUGUUCAUGCUGUGGGCUUCCCCGAGGCAUCACGGACUCACUCGGACUGGCCCUCCAGAGUGCCUUGAAGAGAGCCAGAUUCAGAAGAAAUAUUACUUCAGCUUGUUAGAUGUUGUAAGAUGGAAAAAGAUCUAGCCAGGAGGCAGAGACUCUGCAAAAUUGCUAAUAAAUCGUUACUGCCUGUUAUUAAAAGGAUUGAU
rnacentral:lncRNA from 1 species